rnacentral:rRNA from 1 species
GUCCUGGCAGUAAACGGUGCACGUUUGGUGUGGGCGCAAUCGACCGCGUCCGCGCCGGAGCUAACGCGUUAAACGUGCCGCCUGGGAAGUACGGUCGCAAGAUUAAAACUCAAAGAAAUUGACGGGGACCCCGCACAAGCGGUGGAGUAUGUGGCUUAAUUCGAUGCAACGCGAAGAACCUUACCUGGUCUUGACAUGCAUUGUGUCUCCGGUGAAAGCCGGAUAGGGUAGCAAUACCCGCUUUGCACAGGUGCUGCAUGGCUGUCGU